GACAACAGAGAUAUUAAGUCACAUUGACCUUCUAGGCCCUUUCCUUUAAAGAAAAUGUGUUUGAUUGAAGAUGUAUUAAGUAAUAGGAAAAGAUCUCUUGCUCACCAGAAUUAAGAGACUAGGAAAAGGCUGGGAGAACUCAUUCUACACUGAACUGGGCGAGGUCUAGGGAGGUGGGUCAGGAUCGGGGAAACAGGUGAUGGGAGUGCUGAGGGGAGGGCUGUUUGUUCUAAGAAAAGGGUAAGACACCUCUUGCCACAGAUGAGGCCUGUGGGAGCCUGACCGGGGUUGGUUUCUGGUUUGGACGCCUCUGUGUGUCUUCCUGGCAGUUCCCAGUUAGUGACCCCCAAAUCUGA